CCUACGGGAGGCAGCAGUGGGGAAUACUGCACAAUGGGCGCAAGCCUGAUGCAGCCAUGCCGCGUGUAUGAAGAAGGCCUUCGGGUUGUAAAGUACUUUCAGCGAGGAGGAAGGCGUUGUGGUUAAUAACCGCAACGAUUGACGUUACUCGCAGAAGAAGCACCGGCUAACUCCGUGCCAGCAGCCGCGGUAAUA
rnacentral:rRNA from 1 species